rnacentral:rRNA from 1 species
GAUGAACGCUAGCGGCAGGCUUAACACAUGCAAGUCGAGGGGCAGCAUAAUGGAUAGCAAUAUCUAUGGUGGCGACCGGCGCACGGGUGCGUAACGCGUAUGCAACCUGCCUAGUCACAGGGGAAUAACGCAUCGAAAGGUCGUGCUAAUACCGCAUGAGACCACAGGACCGCAUGGUCAAGGGGUCAAAGAUUUGAUCGGUGAUAGAUGGGCUCGCGUCUGAUUAGCUGGUUGGUGAGGUAACGGCCCACCGAAGGCGACGAUCCAGUAGCCGACCUGAGAGGGUGAUCGGCCACAUUGGAACUGAGAAACGGUCCAA